UUGCUGAUGAUGCGUGAAGAGCGCCCCUCUCAUCUUCCAAAAGAGCAGAAUUAACCGACUGACGCUUUCACGGUGCUGUUGCUGCGGCGCCUCUCUGCUCCCCGGCUGCCCUCGCUGGUGCCGGUGCUGCUGAGCG
rnacentral:snoRNA from 1 species